GAUGAACGCUGGCGGUAUGCUUAACACAUGCAAGUCGAACGGACUCUUCGGAGUUAGUGGCGGACGGGUGAGUAACGCGUGAGAAUCUGGCUUUGGGUUCGGGACAACCACUGGAAACGGUGGCUAAUACCGGAUGUGCCGAGAGGUAAAAGAGAAAUUGCCUGAAGAUGAGCUCGCGUCUGAUUAGCUAGUUGGUGAGGUAAAGGCUCACCAAGGCAGCGAUCAGUAGCUGGUCUGAGAGGAUGACCAGCCACACUGGGACUGAGACACGGCCCAGACUCCCACGGGAGGCAGCAGUGGGAAAUUUCCCGCAAUGGCGAAAGCCUGACGGAGCAAUACCGCGUGAGGGAAGAAGGCUCUUGGGUUGUAAACCUCUUUUCUUAGGGAAGAACAAAAUGACGGUACCUAAGGAAUCAGCAUCGGCUAACUCCGUG
rnacentral:rRNA from 1 species